rnacentral:lncRNA from 1 species
CGCCUCUCUUCAGUCUUCACCUUAUAUUCGCCUCUCUUCACUUUCAGUCUUCACUUCAGUACAGAUCUAUUCCUCACUCCUCACUGUAAGCAGGUGUUACCUGGUUCUGGUUGAUUAGAAUUUGUACAUGGUGGAAAUAGGCUUAUUGCAAAUCUGAAUAGAGUAUCGGAUGAGAACAAGUUAACAGAGUAUGUAUGGUAUUCGCACUUUAAUUCCAUUGUUUGUGUUCUAUUAAGCAGUCCAAUAUGAUGGACUGUGCCGUUGUGUGUAUCCAACCAAAUUAUCUCACCUUCUAAUUUCUAUCAAAGCAG